GGGGCUGUUUGGUUUUGACAGCAAGGUAAAUGGGUAUUGUAAGCAUGCCGAGCCAAGUGAUAUGUCUCGUAAAUCCGGGUCACAAAACAAUAAAAGGCGAAAACACUUACGCUCUUGCUGCCUGAUC
rnacentral:tmRNA from 1 species